ACUAAAUUCUCACCUAAAGUUGAUACUAAUAUUACAAUAACUCUCUUGUGCCCUAUUUUGGUGUUUUAAACUUCUUUGCUGUACAUUUAAGAAAAUCAGAAUUUCAGUAGACUCCUCGUGCAGUCUGAGGAGGCAGUUUCCUAUCUGGUUUGACUUAAGGGGCUGCAGAAGACAUUCUUAUCCCACAUAUUUCUUCUGCUGAUCAGUCAGCAACUGAAAUUCCAACUAAUGGAUUCCAUUCUUCCAGUUAAGACAUCAUCUCCAGAAAACUGUGCUAGUUGGCAUCCAGCAGUGCCCAAGUAUUAUUUAACCCACUAGAACCUGUGACUGCAUCAGCUUUAUAUCCUGGACCUCAGCCUGGAACAAAGGAGAGCUACACUUGGAUACUAAACACAAGUGGUCUGGAUAGAUUAUGCUGGGAAAAGAAGCCUGGAGCAGGCAGUACAGUGGGAGAACAAGAUGGAGUUUUGCUCUUGUCGCCCAGUCUGGAGUGCAAUGGCAUGAUCUUGGUUCACCGCAAUCUCUGCCCCCAGGUUCAAGGGAUUCUCCUGCCUCAGCCACCUGAGUAGUUGGGAUUACAGGCAUGUGCCACCAUGCCUGGGUAAUUUUGUAUUUUUAGGUGAGAUGGGGUUUCUCCAUGUUGGUCAGGCUGGUCUCAAACUCCUGACCUCAGGUGAUCCACCCGCCUCGGCCUCCCAAAGUGCUGGGAUUACAGGCAAGCCACUGCACCCAGCCAUAAUGAUCUUCUUUUUAAAGUACUAUAUAAGCAUCUUAGUACUUAACAUCUUUAUUGUCUAUAUCAAACUCUAAAACCAAGCUCCAUGAAGGCAAGGAUUUGUCUUCAAAUCUUUUGCUCUCUGUUACUUCCCCCAGCAUCUAAGUACUGCUUAGCACUUACAGCUUUUCAAGAAAUAAUUGCUGAGUAAAUAAAAGAACUAAUGAGUUUUGCUUUCUAAAUUUUUUAUUCUUGAUUGAAUAUUAUUAAAUGAUUUGAGACUGACACAUCUAGUUUUUAAUUUGAUGAUUAUUGUUAAGUUUUACAAAAACAGACUUCAAUGUAUAUUUUGAAAAUGAAUUCAAGAAUAGCAUUUUCUACAAAUGGCCAAGAGACAUAUGAAAAGAUGUUCAACAUCACUAGUCAUCAGAGAAAUGCAAAUGAAAACCACAAUGAAUCUCACACCCAUUAGAAUGGCUGUUAUCCAAAAAGCAAAAGAUAAAAAGUGUUGGCGAGGAUCUGGAGAGAAGAGAACUCUUGUACACUGUUAGGGGGCAUGUAAAUGGGUGCAGCUGCUUCGGCCGCUAUGCAAAACAGCAUGGAGGCUCCUCAAUAAAUUAAAAAUAGAACUAUCAUAUGAUUCAGCAAUCCCACUUCUGUUAUUGAUCCAAAAGAAUUGAAAGCAAGAUCUCUAAAAGGUAAUUGAACUCUCACGUUCACUGUGGCAUUAUUCACAAUAGCCAAGACAUGUAAUCAAUCUAAAUGUCCAUCGACUGAUGAAUGGAUAAAGAAAUGUGAUAUAUAUAUACAAUGGAAUAUUAUUUAACCUUAGAAAAGAAGUAAUACUGCCUUUGGUGACAACAUGGAUGAACCUGGAAGACAUCAUGCUAGUGAAACAAGCCAGGCACAGAAAGACAAAUAUUGUAUGAUUUAAGUUAUAUGUGGAAUCUAAAAUAGUCAAACUCAUAGUAAUAGAGAAUAGAAUGAUGGUUACCGGGAGUUGGAGGGGGUGGUGAGAGAAAUGGGAAGUUAUUGCUCCAAGUGCACAAAGUUUCUGUUAUAUACAAUGAACAAGCCCUGGAGAUCUACUGUAUAGUGUAGUGUCUAUAGUUACAAGUACUGUAUUAUAUACUUAAAAAUUUGGUAAGAGGAUAGAUCUUAUGUUAAGUGUUCUUAUCACAAAUAAUAAAGAGGGUGAGAGAAAA
rnacentral:lncRNA from 1 species